CAGUAUUCCCUCCUUGUCCAAACUGCUCAAAUUAGGCUUGAACUCUUCCUGCCAUAGCUUUAGUAGAAACUAUCCUCACCCAUUAUCAGACAGGGUAUUCACCUGAAGGAAAAAAGGUAAAUUUGAAUCAUAUCAUCCUGAGAGGGAGCUAGUUUCUGGAUUUCUCAUGCCAUUUGGUAACAACAAGGCUACUGUACUGAAGGAGCUGCCCUAGCUUAUGUCUGAAAGAAAGACCACUUCUGUGUAUUGCUAGCUCUGCUGUCAAAAUUGUGGAAACCAUGAAAGACAGAGGGGAAACAACUUCACACCUGUGUCAGGCAUAAAAGAUGUUCCUCAUUGCCUGGUUUGGGCAGCAGGGGGAUAACUCUAGCGACACCAGAGCUGCCAGUUGGGCACCAUGUGAAACCAUAGUAUUCUAGCACUGCUGUGACCAUCAAGGCCAGGAGCAUCUGCCAAAACAUUUACCAAGGACUGGAGGUGCUGCCUCUGCCUGAGAAAGGGAUGACACCAGACAGAGCCUUGAGGAAUCUGAGCAGUGCCGGGAUGCAACAUCUGCUCCAUCAAAUUGCUCUCAGACGCUGCUGUUCCUCGCCUGUUCACUGCUGCUCGUCAGCAUCUCAAGCAGCCCUGUACCUCCCCAGGACAUACAAGUUCGGACACAGACCCACAAAGGCCAAACGUCUUCGUUUAUUCUCCCAGGCUAAAGGAUAUUGUCAAGACACAACACAACUGUUUGACAUGGAGAAAAAAAAUCUGAACAAACUACAUGCCAUGUUGAUUUGCCAAGUGAGGUUUGCUUUCAUUGAUUUAUUUACUAUUUAAUUUGACAACCAUCUCAAGUACUGAAUCUACCUUUGCAACCCCACUAUUUGCUAUAUUAUGAACCUCACUUUGUAACUUAGCUAAUGUAAAAAUGCCUCCCAUUACUAGCGGUGGUGCUUCGCAUGACAUAACAGAAACUGACUCAGAAAGUAGCAUAUGCUGUUAUCACCCAUAAUAGAUCAGCCACAUCUCAAAGACUGGAAGCCAAAAUUGCCAUUUGGCAUGUCUGUAAAUUCAAAUAUGCCGUCUGUCCCAAGUUGAAAAUUAAUGGGAUUUUGUCUACUUUAUAUAUAUAUACCAAAGGCUUUGCUUUCACUGUUGCCAUAAAAGAUUUUUCAUUUAGUAUUUGUAUUAUAGUAACUCUCCAUGGGUAUUUAAUGUUGUUGCCAAGCUCAUCAGGCUGCAAUUUGUAAAACAAAUGCCCUUCUGCCUUUCUGCAGCUUGUUUCCUCCACAUCUAAGUUCAGUGCUUCCAGAACACAGAACUGUGAAGUUGCAAGAACACCUUUCUGUCCCAAGGCAGGACACAAUAAGCCAUCAUCAACAUAUAUUUGCUAAUAAAAUGACAAGAAAUGCUGAAAUAUUAAAUGCCCAUAUGCAUAUCUCAGUCUAAAUAUUUGUGGUAUAUUACAAAAAAUUCCUCUAUGUGGGCUGGUGUUAUCUA
ensembl:lncRNA